CAGGUUACCCGCGACAAGACGGAAAGACCCCAUGGAGCUUUACUGCAGCUUGAUAUUGGAUUUGGGUACGAUCUGUACAGGAUAGGUGGGAGCCUGAGAAACAGGAGCGCAAGCUUCUGUGGAGGCGCCGUUGGGAUACCACCCUGAUCGUAUCUAGGUUCUAACCUGGUACCGUAAUCCGGUGCGGGGACAGUGUCAGGCGGGCAGUUUGACUGGGGCGGUCGCCUCCUAAAGAGUAACGGAGGCGCCCCAAGGUUCCCUCAGAAUGGUUGGAAAUCAUUCGAAGAGUGCAAAGGCAUAAGGGAGCUUGACUGCGAGACCUACAAGUCGAGCAGGGACGAAAGUCGGGCUUAGUGAUCCGGUGGUACCGCAUGGAAGGGCCAUCGCUCAACGGAUAAAAGCUACCCUGGGGAUAACAGGCUUAUCUCCCCCAAGAGUCCACAUCGACGGGGAGGUUUGGCACCUCGAUGUCGGCUCAUCGCAUCCUGGGGCUGAAGUAGGUCCCAAGGGUUGGGCUGUUCGCCCAUUAAAGCGGUACGCGAGCUGGGUUCAGAACGUCGUGAGACAGUUCGGUCCCUAUCUGUCGUGGGCGUAGGAAAUUUGAGAGGAGCUGUCCUUAGUACGAGAGGACCGGGAUGGACGUACCGCUGGUGCACCAGUUGUUCCGCCAGGAGCACGGCUGGGUAGCUAAGUACGGAAGGGAUAAGCGCUGAAAGCAUCUAAGCGUGAAGCCCCCCUCAAGAUGAGAUUUCCCAAUUCGUAAGACCCCUUGAAGACGACGAGGUAGAUAGGUUGGAGGUGGAAGUGCAGCAAUGCAUGGAGCUGACCAAUACUAAUCGGUCGAGGGCUUAUCCUA
rnacentral:ncRNA from 1 species